GGCGCCAAAGCCAUGUGGUGAGGCUCCAUGGUUAAGACAGACCCUGCUGGUCUGGGUUCAAAUCCCAGUGCUGCCC
rnacentral:tRNA from 1 species